rnacentral:rRNA from 1 species
GACGAACGCUGGCGGCGUGCUUAACACAUGCAAGUCGAACGGAAAGGCCCUGCUUUUGUGGGGUGCUCGAGUGGCGAACGGGUGAGUAACACGUGAGUAACCUGCCCUUGACUUUGGGAUAACUUCAGGAAACUGGGGCUAAUACCGCAUAUGAGCUCCUGCUGCAUGGUGGGGGUUGGAAAGUUUCGGCGGUUGGGGAUGGACUCGCGGCUUAUCAGCUUGUUGGUGGGGUAGUGGCUUACCAAGGCUUUGACGGGUAGCCGGCCUGAGAGGGUGACCGGCCACAUUGGGACUGAGAUACGGCCCAGACUCCUACGGGAGGCAGCAGGGGGGAAUAUUGCACAAUGGGCGGAAGCCUGAUGCAGCAACGCCGCGUGCGGGAUGACGGCCUUCGGGUUGUAAACCGCUUUCGCCUGUGACGAAGCGUGAGUGACGGUAAUGGGUAAAGAAGCACCGGCUAACUACGUG